rnacentral:rRNA from 1 species
GUGAACGCUGGCGGCAGGCCUAACACAUGCAGGUCGAGCGGCAGCGGGUCCUUCGGGAUGCCGGCGAGCGGCGGACGGGUGAGGAAUACAUCGGAAUCUGCCCUGUCGUGGGGGAUAACCUAGGGAAACUUAGGCUAAUACCGCAUACGACCUACGGGUGAAAGCGGGGGAUCGCAAGACCUCGCGCGACAGGAUGAGCCGAUGUCCGAUUAGCUAGUUGGCGGGGUAAAGGCCCACCAAGGCGACGAUCGGUAGCUGGUCUGAGAGGAUGAUCAGCCACACAGGGACUGAGACACGGCCCAGACUCCUACGGGAGGCAGCAGUGGGGAAUAUUGGACAAUGGGCGCAAGCCUGAUCCAGCCAUGCCGCGUGGGUGAAGAAGGCCUUCGGGUUGUAAAGCCCUUUUGUCCGGGAAGAAAUCGUCUGGGCUAAUACCCCGGGCGGAUGACGGUACCGGAAGAAUAAGCACCGGCUAACUUCGUG